AGCGGCCAAGAAUGCUAUAGACAUCAUGGCAAGAGCUAAUCCCAGCAGAAGCACAGCCGACUUCAAAGCUAAACGCAUGGAACUAGGAUCUCCCAGUUGUGCCCACAGUAGAGUGACAGCAACAAUGACAGAGGCACAGUGAAACCUGCUUGAAAUGUAACUGUUGCGACUAGCAUGGCAACCACCAGAAUCGUAUUUAUCUUGUCUCUCCAACUUUCUGUCUCCAGUUGGUCUCCGAGCUUAAAACUCGUGCUUCUGGAAGUUGGUUUAUGUGCUCGUGGGGCAUCAACUGCUCUCAAGGCCAUGCAGGUAAGCCUCUGCAUUGUGAAUUGUUCAUUUUCAGGUAUUAAAACCUAUACAACUUGUUAUUUGAGAAAUAUCAUUAUAUUUGAGCCACUCAACAGGCAUUAAAAUCUACAAAACUAGUUAUUUGAGGCACUAACCUUGUGAAAUGAUACCAAUCCCACUUCAAUUUGUUCCUCGGCAAUGUCAAGUGCCAUCUGGCGGUUGUUAUUUAACAACCUCGGAAUCACUCUUUUGUCCCUCACAAGAAUGCCAACCAGCUUUGGAUGCGCGUAAAUGGUUGCAAGGUGUAAAGCUCCCUUGUAUCUGGCCGAUGCUGAAACAUCAUUUGGAUAAUAUCUACAUGUCCUUUGCUGGCUGCUGAAUGGAUGGGAUGAAAGCCUUGUUUAUCUUUCUGCUCCCAACAGGAUUGUCCAUAAGGAGCCUUACAAUGAUGAGAAAUCCUGCUCCUGCAGCAAGAUAUAGCAAAGACUUACCUUCCUUGUUAAGAGAAUAAGACAUCAGCGGGUUCCUGUUGAUCAGAAUUCGAGCCACUUCUUCAUGCCCAUAUUUCAGAGCCUCGUGCAGGGCAGUGUUCCCUUCCUCGUUCUUUUCACGCAAACCACCUUCUGCGAAUUCUGAAUUGACUAGCAAUGUCACCAGUUGUGAACUGCCGGCUCUUGCUGCUAUAUGAAGUGCAGUGUCACCUCGCGCAUUCUUUUCAGCAACUAAGUCAGGCAAGUCCUUGCAGAUUAGUUUGACGAUUUCAUAGCUCCCGAAGCUUGUUGCUACGUGCAGCACUGUCUUAUUCUGUGGACCUAACUGCACGCAAGAAACCGUUGGCCCGUGUUGUCGAUCACAUUCCAUCGCUCUCACGAAUUCAAGAAUGUCAUCUUUCAUUAUCGCUCUGUAUAAUUUUGGGUCCAUGGUUUGUGCAGUCUCGUAGCUCUCCUCUUCAUCGAGCAAACCGGGAUAUUUGUGCACUGACAUAGGUAACUGGCUUGUCUAUUUUGUUCUCUCAAAUUCAUUUCGUAAAACCUACGCUUGUUUAUAUACACACAGUUGCUAACCAGCCCUUUUGUAAAUUGUUCAGUAAUUUCUUUAAAAAGGGUUGUUUGAUGACUUUGAUCAAUCAAUUUCAAGGACUAGUGAGCUGUA